AGAGUUUGAUCAUGGCUCAGAAUCAACGCUGGCGGCGUGCCUAACACAUGCAAGUCGAACCGCGAAAGGGGCUUCGGCCCUGAGUAGAGUGGCGAACGGGUGAGUAACACGUGGGUGAUCUACCUUCGAGUGGGGGAUAACGUUCCGAAAGGAACGCUAAUACCGCAUGACGUUCUGGGUUUAAAGACCUGGAAACCAAAGCCGGGACCGCAAGGCCUGGCGCUGGAAGAGGAGCCCGCGUCCGAUUAGCUAGUUGGCGGGGUAAUGGCCCACCAAGGCGACGAUCGGUAGCCGGCCUGAGAGGGCGGACGGCCACACUGGAGCUGAGACACGGUCCAGACUCCUACGGGAGGCAGCAGUGGGGAAUUGUUCACAAUGGGCGCAAGCCUGAUGACGCAACGCCGCGUGGGGGAUGAAGGUCUUCGGGAUCGUAAACCCCUGUUCGAACGGGACGAAAGACUCUGGAGCUAAUC
rnacentral:rRNA from 1 species